rnacentral:rRNA from 1 species
AGUGAACGCUGGCGGUAGGUCUAACACAUGCAAGUCGAACGGCAGCACAGUAAGAGCUUGCUCUUACGGGUGGCGAGUGGCGGACGGGUGAGGAAUACAUCGGAAUCUACUUUUUCGUGGGGGAUAACGUAGGGAAACUUACGCUAAUACCGCAUACGACCUACGGGUGAAAGCAGGGGAUCUUCGGACCUUGCGCGAUUGAAUGAGCCGAUGUCGGAUUAGCUAGUUGGCGGGGUAAAGGCCCACCAAGGCGACGAUCCGUAGCUGGUCUGAGAGGAUGAUCAGCCACACUGGAACUGAGACACGGUCCAGACUCCUACGGGAGGCAGCAGUGGGGAAUAUUGGACAAUGGGCGCAAGCCUGAUCCAGCCAUACCGCGUGGGUGAAGAAGGCCUUCGGGUUGUAAAGCCCUUUUGUUGGGAAAGAAAAGCAGCAGGUUAAUACCCCGCUGCUCUGACGGUACCCAAAGAAUAAGCACCGGCUAACUUCGUG